GACGAACGCUGGCGGCGUGCUUAACACAUGCAAGUCGAACGGAAAGGCCCUGCUUUUGUGGGGUGCUCGAGUGGCGAACGGGUGAGUAACACGUGAGUAACCUGCCCUUGACUUUGGGAUAACUUCAGGAAACUGGGGCUAAUACCGGAUAGGAGCUCCUGCUGCAUGGGGGGGGUUGGAAAGUUUCGGCGGUUGGGGAUGGACUCGCGGCUUAUCAGCUUGUUGGUGGGGUAGUGGCUUACCAAGGCUUUGACGGGUAGCCGGCCUGAGAGGGUGACCGGCCACAUUGGGACUGCGAUACGGCCCAGACUCCUACGUGAGGCAGCAGUGGGGAAUAUUGCACAAUGGGCGGAAGCCUGAUGCAGCAACGCCGCGUGCGGGAUGACGGCCUUCGGGUUGUAAACCGCUUUCGCCUGUGACGAAGCGCGAGUGACGGUAAUGGGUAAAGAAGCACCGGCUAACUACGUG
rnacentral:rRNA from 1 species